GGAGAGGUGGCCGAGUCGGCUGAAGGCGGCACCCUGCUAAGGUGUUAUGUGGGAAACUGCAUCGUGGGUUCGAAUCCCACCCUCUCCG
rnacentral:tRNA from 1 species